CCUCAGGGGGGGCUUUCCCAUGCAAACUUGGGAGCUGAUCCUCUGUGACCAACUCCUCCUUUCCUUCAGAUUAGUUCCAGUCAGCACAGAGCAGGAGGAAGCUUCUUUUUUCAUGAGAUGAAGCAUCCAAAUCGCUAAGUAAAAGGGUUAACGCUCACAAAGGGCUAUAGAACUCUGUGAUGUCACAGGCCGUGGCAGUUAUUUUCCGUUGGUUCAGUUAUGGCAGUUAUUAACAGUCUUCACAGUCGGAGCAGCAGAUAUGUUCCGUUAUGCUGCUGUCUACCUCAGAGUUAGUCUCGGGAGUCAUUGACCUUGUAGCACUGCCUCAAUGAUCGGGAACAGUCCUGUGUGAACAAGAAGACAGGCGAGGAAGCUAAUCGUGCAUCCUGAGUGCGAAUCCAUUCGGUAGGAAGGGGGGGGGGAAGGGUAGGGGAUCCCGCAAUCUGCAUUUGCCACAUGAACACACACAAAAUUACACUCUGGUCUCCCAAGGAAUCCUGAGAAUCUUUUCAUUUUUUCCUCUCUUUCCUUUUAAAAGGGCCAACUUUCUAGCCCUCCAGGCCACUCAAAGUGCAUGAAAACGCAAGGGCCAGCAGCAUUUCCCCCACUCGCAAUUCUUUUUUCAUAAUGUAUUUUUUGCAUUAUAAGAACGACACAAUGUAUGCCUUCAGGCACCCAAUUUUUUAAAAAAGAAAGAAAGGUUCCUAGUAAGCCAAAACUGUUUGGAUUAUUUUGGGAUUAUUAUUUUUUUAAAGCCUCUGAAUAUUAGCCACAUUGCAGUUUACUUUAUAAACACUAAAAAGCAGGACCUUGUUUCAAACAAGUAAAUGAUCAUUUAAAUUUUUCAGAGGCAAGUGUAGCUCUCAUAUUACAGAUCAGCCCAACUGAGACUAAGUGACUUAUACUCCAAAAUAAGUUAUUUUGCUGAGGUGGUUCUCAAAUUGAAGACUUCUAGAACCAUAUGUGUGCUGGCUGAACACUAGGUUUUUUCACAGACAUAUUUCAUAGAUACCAAAAUGUCAAGCAAGCUCACGUAUAGAGGGGCUUUUAUUGGAGCUUGGCCUGGAACCCAUUGGGAAUGAGAUCUCAACGUUUGUUUGUUUUUAAAGGACCAUAAGAACAUAAUAAGAGCCAUCCUGGAUCAGGCCAGUGGCCCACCUACUCCAGCAUCCUGUUCUGACAGUGGCCAACCAGAUGCCCUAAAGGGAAGCCCGCAGGCAAGACCUGAGAGUAACAGCAACUCUCCCCGCUUGUGAUUCCUAGCUACUAGCAUUCAGAAGCAUCAUUGCCUCUGACAGUGUAGGUAGACCAAAGCCAUCAUGCCUAAUAGCCAUUGAUAGCCUUCUCCUCCCUUAACUUGUCCAAUCCUCUUCCAAAGCCAUCCAAGUUGGUGGCCAUCACUGCCUUGCAGGACUGAGUUCCACAGGUUAACUGUGUAUGGUGUGGAAGAGGACUUCUGGCAUGGGGCCACCUCUCACCUGCUCCUGCAGCUCAGCCAGCCGUGUGGCUCUUUCCUCUUCAGAGUCUGAGCUGUCCGAGUCGGAGGAGCUCUCCUCGCUGCUAUGGCUGCUUUCCAUGCUUUUGCUGACAACGGGUGCCGUCUGUGGGGGCUGGGCCAGGGGCUCUGCCGGCUCAUCCGGCAUCUUGGCAAACCUCAUCUCAAAGACGUCCUGCGUGCGGAGAGAGAGGGCAUAUGAAAGAGAGAGGUUUGUAGAGGGGGCAGAGAGAGCCCACAACCCUUCUAGGAACAUAAGAUAAGCCACUGGCCACAUCCAGUUCAGCAUCCUGUUCUUACAAUGGCCACCCAGAUGCUCCAAAGGGAAGCAUGCAAGUAGAGUCCAAGCACAAGAGCCCUCUUUCCUUCUGUGGUUCCCAGCAACUGGUAUUCAAAAAUAUCAUUGCCACCGACCAUAGAGAAAGAGCACAGCCAUAGAAUCAAAGAAUCACAGAACUGUAGAGUUGGAAGGGACCCCAAGGAUCAUCAAGUCCAACCCACUACAAUGCAAAUAAUCUCAGCUAAAGCAUCCAUAGCUAGCAGCCAUUGACAGCCUUAUCUCUUCCACGAAUUUGUCUAUUCCUCUUUUAAAGCCAUUUAAGAUUGGUGGCCAUCACCACUUUCCAUGACAGUGAGUUUCCCCACCCCCUCCACCCACUUUCUCCUUGGAAGCAGUGUUCCCUAACCUCCCAUUCAAAAAAAUAAACAAUUUGGAAAAAAGGCAAGGAUGUGAAACACAAGAGCAUCAUUGCUGAGUCACACCCCCCAAAAAAAGAUGGGACGUAUAUUGGCCAACUGGGCAUAAACUGCUUUGAUGCAGCCUAGUUGCAGAAUCCUCUCACAUUUAGCUGUUAUUUCUACACUGCAGGGGAUUGGACUAGAUGCCCCUUGAGGGCUCCUUCCAACUCUCCAAUUCUGUGCUUCAAACCAAAUCGAUUAAAAGCUAGCAGGACUGGAUGAUAAAUAGCUAAAUUACAGGAAGCAGAUGCUGAAAUUGAAAUGCCUUCCAUACAAGGAUUUGGAGGAGAAGAUAAAAUCACAAAUAGUGAUAUGGAGAAUUGUCUGGAUGUGGCAUUGAUGGAUUUGAGAGGGGGGAAGCACUGGGAAAAUCUUCAUUCCUGGCCUUUCUUCAGUUCUAGCAGACAAAGUAUAUUCUGCAGUCAAUUUGGAGUGAAUUCAGAGAAUGCUGCUGCUAAAUUUAUGCUAUUCUCUAUGGAAAAAGACUUGGAAAAAAAAAACAAAAAACAAAGGCCCUAGAAGAGCAGAUUGGGAUGCUAUCAUAAAUACAACAGGAAAUGGAAACACAACAGGAAAUGGAAUUUGAACAUACAGGACAUGGACUAAUGGAUAUAUAGGCCAAAUGCUGGGAGGAGAAAGGAAAGAUUCCAGG